GACAGAGGGUGCAAACGUUGCUCGGAAUCACUGGGCGUAAAGGGCGUGUAGGCGGGAAGGAAAGUCGGGCGUGAAAUCCCUGGGCUCCAACCCGAGGAACUGCACUCGAAACUUCUUUUCUUGAGUGCCGGAGAGGAAAGCGGAAUUCCGUGGUGUAGAGGUGAAAUUCGUAGAUAUCAGGAGGAACACCAGUGGCGAAGGCGGCUUUCUGGACGGUAACUGACGCUGAGACGCGAAAGCUAGGGGAGCAAACGGG
rnacentral:rRNA from 1 species